rnacentral:rRNA from 1 species
UACGUAGGGUGCGAGCGUUGUCCGGAAUUAUUGGGCGUAAAGAGCUUGUAGGCGGUCUGUCGCGUCUGCUGUGAAAAUCCGGGGCUCAACCCCGGACUUGCAGUGGGUACGGGCAGACUAGAGUGUGGUAGGGGAGACUGGAAUUCCUGGUGUAGCGGUGAAAUGCGUAGAUAUCGAGAGGAACACCUGCGGCGAAGGCGGGUUGCUGGGCUGAUACUGACGCUGAGGCGCGAAAGCUAGGGGAGCGAACGGG